UUAUUAUUUUUUCCUUCUACGUGGCUUUACCGAAAAAUAAUACAGUUACGUAUUAUGUUUUCUAUCUACGUGGCUUUACCGAAAGACCCAAAGAAUAUGUAGCCGGUUACUAAUCUUGGUCUUCCUCGGUGCUCUGCCAUCUCGAAUAACGUUACGAGAUGAUCUUGAACCUGCGUCCAUCUUCCUUGAGGCCACGUAGUUAACUGGGUCUCGUCAGUCAGUCGCGCUUUGGUGGUUGGUGGGGUUAGUCGUCGCCAUCGUCGCACGUGAUCGCGUUCGCCCCACUCGUUGUCAUCGCCGACACCCUGAAGGCGAGCCUUCGGUAGCGGCGAGUCCGCGUGUUCAGCACGCGCCUCGAGACAUCACAAACAGGAGCGGCGAGAGGAGGUGGCGACAACGGCAAUUAAACACUCGAUAAAAGUGUCACUGGCCAAAUCUCAGAAUGUCAAUCGAACGAAGGCAAUGAAGCUCAAAGCAGGGGACUAAAGAUAGCGUAUCAUACUCUUUGGUUCUUUCGGUAAAGUCACGUAGGUAGAAAAAUAAAAAUAUAUAUAUCAAGACGUUCCAAAUCAAGAUAGGGUAUCCCGUCUCCAAUUAAAGUUAAACCCACUUUUUAAACAUAACACUGUCCGUGGCGCGAACAUCAAUCCCUACCAUAGCAUUAUCCCCGUGCCCUAACUUAUAACGCGAACUUAGAAAACAUAAAACAACCUUAGCACAAAUCAUAGUAAUAAUUCUAGCACGAGCAUUAGAGCUAUCUCUCACACUGAGGUUUGACCAGGUGUUGCCGUUAGCAGAGAGCUUGACUCACAGGAAGUAGGACAAGUUUAUUUCCAGAUCGGUUGUCUUACUUAACCAAUCCUCCAGGGUGGAUAAAAUAAUGCACCAUUUUCUUUGAAGCGAAAAGGGGUUGUGAUAUUUGCCAGAUGCCCCUCUGUCAUAGGAAUGUGGAAUGGUUUAUCAUUGGUUCACGAGGGAAAGACUACCCAAACAGUGCGUCUUUGAGGAUAGAAACACUUUGACUUUUGGUAUAACAUUUAACUUAUUCUAUCUGUAAUAAUCACAUUGGAUAUAAUUGGAACGCGGUAAUCGGGCUUAUCCUGAAAUUUUCUUACAUUUUCAACCAAUCCAACUAUACCGCUGCCAUUAAACCUAUUCCUAACACGAAUCUUUUAUCAUCACCAUCAUCAUUGUCCAUUGUCUCUACACCGAUUGAAGGUCUCCCCAAGCCAUCGCUAUGUCUCAUAGUUUCGUGAUGCAAAAAUCCAUUGAGAAACUGACCAUUAGUUGAUAUUAUCACCCCAUGGUGGACGUCUUCUCGGGCUAACCAUUACCCUAACACUAUUCCUCACUAUAACAAUAACACUUAACAACAACAACUUUGCCACGACUGGAACAUUAAUCUUAAACACAAUCCAAAAAAAUCGCACCGUGAUGCUAUCUCUUAUCUUUGUGUACACUUAUACUGCAUUAACAUUAACCCUAGCCCAAUUUGGUCAGUGGGUGCUCCCACCUCUUACAAGGUGCAUUGACCAGCGUGGAAGAGUAGGCCAAAAUAAAAACCUCCAGAGGGACACUUUCCAGAGCUCUAAGUGCAGCCCCUUCCGCCAGCAGUGGAAUGAGCAAUACAUUUUAGAUUCCUCACACCUUUACCUACCCAUUGCAAUAACCCUAACACUGUCCUAACAUGAACCGUGAUCCCCAGCUCCUAAACCCCCCAAUCCCUCUCUUAACACAUUAAAUCCGCGCUGUGUGAAAGUCGUGCGAAACAAAAUCCUUUAAAUAUAAUUGCGGUGAGGGUUUUUUUAAAUAUUUGCAGCGCUGCACCUCGGCCAAUGUCACUUUAGUAAUAAAAGUGCGCAAUUACUCCUCCUCCUCCCUCUUCCCAAAGACCCCCACCGCCAUCGCAAGCGAGGCCUCGCGCAACGAGGACAUCGCGCAGUUAGCGCGAGACUUGCGACUGAAAUCGUCGUUUUUAACCCUUGCCUGCAAGCGUAUCGUUAAUUAGCGAACUCCAGUAAGAUUAAAUUUAUUUUGGCGUCUUAUUUUAAAGAGGUCAGUUCUUUCGCAGAUAGCACGCUCAUAAUUAAAGGGAGUUAUGGAUAUGUUCCAGAUUUGAUGGUUAACUAAUAACGAAAAAAAAAUCCCCAAAUCAGAGCUUGACAUGAAAUUUAAGACGAUCCAAUAAAAACGUGUUUGUGGUUUAUUCCGAAGGGAGAAGUGGCGGUGCUAAUAUGACGUUGCUUCGAGCGACGUCACUUUUGUGAGCCUCAAGACACACAACUACGUAACAAUGUAAAUGAGACUCUUUGGUUCUUUAAAUGUAAAUGAUCAGAAAUAUUUAAAAUCUGAAAAAAAUGCAUCCUAAAUUUUACUGAAAAAAAAUCUCCCAAAUUAUUUUUCCUCCAAAAAAGGGAGAUAUUACAUUAAAAAACACAACCUUUCAAAUUAAAGCCACUACACAUCUAACCACCAAUCUCAAUGCACUCAUUCAAUCUUUUAGCAAUUUUCUCAAUAAGAUAUGGUGCCAUCGCGUUCACAAUAUCCAAUCACCUACGGAGAAGAUAGAGAGGAUCAUGGUGAAAUCAGUCGGCUAUCUACAAAUAUGGUUAUAGCGUGAAGCGUGAUCACUAUAUUUAUCGCUAUAUUUUCAACUAUGGUUGGCUGCUCUUGGUCACAAAAAAACAUAUUACUAAUCCUGCGAUUCCUAAAACAUUUUUUCGUCGUCCAAAACGAUCGGCUUUGAGUAAUGAACUGCAGCGUUGUUCUUUCUGUAAAUAGACCCGCUACCUGCCCGCUUAUAGCCUACGUUCUCUAUCCACUGCUGCAUGCUCUUGUGUUCCGCAAGCCUUUGCUGCAAAUUAAUCUGCGCUGCGCAGCACGGAGAAUACUCUUCCCUGGCCGUGCGUAUCCGUGCGUUCUAGAGCCUUUUUAAAACGCUCUCGGCCCCCCUGUUAUAUCCCCCCCCUCCUCCUCCUCCUCACCACCCCCCCACUGCAAAGUGUCUAUCACUGGGCAUUAAUUGUUUUGUAACUUUCUUUUUCACGCAACGGACACAAAAAAAACACUGAAAGUAAAAGACCACGGUGAGCUGUGUUGCGUGGAUGUCUGCCGCAAAGGCGUGGGAGUGGAUGUCUUGCUGAAUGACUGGAAGCGAGAUGUCUUUGUUGCCUGAGCUGGUAAACACUACACCGGCAUGACAUUGGAGAAUAUGGUCGCAGAGAAGAAUAGCUUUGCUUCGAAAAAGUUGAAACCCGAGCUGUUUACAUCGGUUUAUGAUGCACACCAUUCUCAAAGGAUACACAAAUCGUUAAACGAUACGAUACGAUGAAGAGCGAUCGAAACAUUUGUCUGAAAUUGUCCGUGGGAUUUAACAACUCGCAUAAUAAUAAGAAGAAUAAGAAUAUUGAAACCACAUAGAGAGAAUCUGCUGAGCUCAUUUGAAAGCAAUCAAGUGUUCAAUGUCAAAAGUCGUAACAAAAAUUAAGAUAAUGAUGACGAUGAAGGUGAUGAUGACUAGAGCUACCAAUGGCAUCGGGAAUAUUUUGAGAAAUUAAAAACACCUCGGGACGGAAGAACAUAAAAAUGGAAAAUAAACAAAAAAAAUGAAAUCCUCGUGAAGAACAAGGUCGCAUCUGCAAGCCCUUUACUCGUACAGAAUGUACAGUGCCACUUUUCAUUUGUUCAAGGAGUCAUUUUUUUACCGAGCCUCUUGAAGAAGGUCUUUGGGGAUGACACCGGGCUGGCUGCGAGGAGGAUCGUCAUGGCGAUGGGAGGGAGGCUGGGGGUAGGUUGAUGAUGGCAGCGCGCAAGAGAUGUUGCUGGAGGUGAAAAUCGCCCACCAGAGAGAUGGCGAUUGGUUUUGAUGCGGGUUGCUACAUUACAAGGGCGGCGUGCGGGGUUGGUGGCUGCUUUGGAUUGAAAAACGAUGGAGGAAGAAGCUGCGGCGGUGGUGGUGGUGAUGGUGACGGUGGUCGUGGAGAGACGAGUUCACGUUGUGCUGGUCAAUCAACACGAUGCCCCCCACGCAUCUCCGUCCGCAAUGGAGCCGACACAUCAGCGAAGGACGUGGCCCCAGCCAUCAUCGGGAUCCACCUCGACCCGCAUCACCCGAAGGGCACGGUCUGAGGUAGAGGCCAGAGGAGAACCAGAGUAGAUCGGCAGUGGCACAGUGGCAAUAAAAUCCAUACUACGUGCCGGUAAAAUGUCCAAGUUUGUUCCCUCAAGCCGCUGCUCGGCCUGCCCCAGUCAAGCACAAAAUAUAAUGGUGGUUCAAUAUAUUUUUUCCUUUUCAUUUUCAAAUUUCUGAGCUCUCCCUGGUGCCCGUACUCUCCUCCCACACGCUCCCGUUCAUCGCCAUGAAGGUGGCAUUGGAUAUGAGCGAGGGUGUAGUUGGUCCUCAAGAACGAGGCUCGGCUAUCUAUAGCUUUUGUGGACCUCUCACGGGAAUGUGAACAACCGACGGGAUUCUCCUUGGCCUUUGCAGGGGAAAAAAGCGAGAAUAUUACUGCAGUAAAACAAUAUUUGUGCGCGCGCGUGUGUUUGCGGUGUUCGAGUGAAUCUAUACAAGGUAUAUACCAGACGCAUUUAUCAAAGUCCAUCAUGCUAACAUGUGUGCAGACUGCAGCUGCAUUUGCUCAUCGAUUGGCUGUCCCACCGUGGCGAUGUAACAGUGUCUGUUUGUAGGCACGCAGAGGCAGUCGACGCUGGCCAUAAACAAGAUGGGUGAAGUGGAUGUGUUGUUCAAGCAGAAAUGUGUGUGUAAAUCUCUACGGCUGCUGAGAUUCACAGCAGACUGCCUGCUUUAUGAAGGCACACGUGUGAAAGCGAUGUUGGGAAAGCACAUCAAGAAAAUUCUGUGAAAUAAAUAAUGCCAAUAAAGCUGGGAGCUGUAGGCCACAAACGCUAGCCACCUCGACAGACGCACCGAAAGAUGAACACAUAAUUCAGGCCAUCCUCCUUGGCAGAUGCGGAUAGCUGAUGCACACAUUGUAAAUGGUAAACUCUCCAGUCGCGUGCGACUGUGGUCAUCCCGAACAGAGAGAGUACAACGUAUAACCACGCAACGAUCGAUCCACAAAAUACACUGUUCCUGAACGCAGUUAUCUUGCUUGACCGCCUGAAUGUGAAAUUGUAGUUGUUGCUCUGCAUCUACUGCAUCAGCAGCCGUACGAAAGAAGAAGAAGGCCAUCCUCCUCACGUUAUAGGCAGAGUAGAGAGGCCCAUUGUAGAUUGGUGUGAAAUUGGAAAGGCACAGGGUGUGUAACACGAUUGGUGCAACACGAUGUUGACAUAUACAUACAAACAGUACGAGGUGAUUCGCUUGUCAAUGCAAUAGAUGGAAUUAUAACCAUGAUGUAUUCAAUUUGGUGUUUAUGAUUACAGCAGUUUAUCAAUCGGGCAGGAAGGGUGACUAAUUACUACACUUUGUGGGUUUCGUGUCUACUGUCAUAUUGUGAAAAAGGGACUUUGAUAAAUACUUUCAAUGCAUAUAUAAGUUUACAAAAAUCCUUUGCGAAAAUAUAUACUUUUCUGUUAUUUGGAGAGGAAGACACUUUUAUUUUUAUCCAUUUUCUUCAAGGUACUUUUGCAACACGAUACCUUGAAGAAAAUGCAUGCUGCCGCAGUGCUGUGAUGGUCAGCACACUGGGCCUGCAAUCCCAGAGGUCGCCGGUUCACGCCUUUGCCACGGCCGUUGAAACAGUGGCGCGAAAAUAAUUGCCCUCUCUCUGGCCUCUGUCCACCAAGCAGUAUAAAUGGGCUCGCCACGGUUCCGAGAUUGGAAGGUCACGUGAGGUACGGUAAAAGUCUGCAUACUCGCACCUCUUCCAAGAUGUCUGCCCAGGCGUGGAGGAGGAGGCCAAAAUACCCUCUCUAGAUGGAGCUCUGUAGAAAGUUCUAAAGAGCUCUCUGCCUCUAUCAGUGUAUGAGCAAUACAUUGCAGGCCCCGAAUCUCUUUCGCUUACCUUCAAGGAAUCAUCCCGGCUUCAAUAUUGAUCUAUUUAUUUCCAUUGGUGGGGAAAAUGUAUUUUUUUUAAUGUUUACUUUUACACGUGUAUAAUAUACACACAUCUCCAUACUCACGUGGGGCAAUCACAACUUUUUUAGAAUGGGAUUCUGAAACAAAUCAGGUUGGCGUCACGUGACACGAUUUCUCUCCCGUCACCGGUUUAGCGUUAGCUUCACCCGAGCUUCGUGAUGCCACGUGGAGAGUUCCGCAGAGGAGGCAACCUCACAGUCAAAAUCUAAACGCCGCCCGAUUCAUAAAUAUGGGCUUCCAUAUUGAGCGUAGUCAUCUGCAGCUUGUUUUCGAGACAAAACAAGUGGUGGGACACAGACGAAUCUCAAUUUCGCCGUCAAACCCAUCGCAGCGGCGCAGACCGAAGAGUCAGUCAGAUUACGUCUUAAAAUGCCACGACACUGCAAUUCCCCCCCCUAUCCCCUUAUCAAGAAAGCCUGUGAAGAUGAUUUCUAUCAGAAUAACAGUUCCAAUUGGUUUACAUUCCGGGGCCAAGGACAUAAGCAAUGUCACAAUUACACGAGUGAUUAUCCACCUGUUUAACACGUGGGAGACUUUCGCGACCAAUGUCAUAAUACAGGUUUUUUUGGGUGAGAUCGCGUAAAUAUAUACAUGUGUCGUUAAACCCGCCACCACCCGACAGCCAAUUGGUAAGAUUUGUCACGUAAACAGAACAUGCCAUUUCGUUACUAGUACAGCACACCGGUGUGUUGGAGAGCAAAGCCACAUUUACAAUCUGAGUACGACGUUUCGCCAUUAAUUACAACUGGCACCAUCAGGCAUACAGCCCCUUUUCGUCACUCCAGCCCUAGAUGAGAACCUCUCCACGCCCGCGGGACACGGGAGGUUAUUUUGCCGCACUUCACUACGCUGACCAGUGCGGGUUUGGUGAGGGCGGAGAGCAGAUGUGGGAGCGCGCAUGCCCACACCUCCGAUUGGCACGGUUGGCUAUGCACGGUGCAAAAGAAGUUCAUUGUACGAUACAACAACGUAAUUUUCGACACUGCCCCCUGAUGACAACCUUUUUGUGUGCGUGGUGGUGGUGGUGGUGGUCACCCACGCAAGCGCUUUCCACAGCCUCAACACUGCUUAGCUUCCCACAUUUAAAAUCGGUCGCAUUCCGGGAUGCUUUGGUCGCAGGCGUGAUGCAAGAAGGUCACCCACAUCUUGAACGUAUCGACAAUGUACUCUACGACAAAGGCAACUGUACCGGAUGAAUUUAAUAAGUGGAAAAACGUUGAUGAUCCACGGUGUAUAUUUUAGAAUAACCCCCCCCAAAAACUGGUUCAUUUGCUAAGUAUAAUCUUCUUUGUAACCCACUAUUUUAUAAGUGGGUUGCAAGUGGGUGUCCCGGUGGCAAGAUCCUAUCUGCUUCGCCUGGUUUACAGGAGGUUGUGGGUUCAACCCCAACCCUGAGGCCUGUAUCUUUGGAGUUUGCAUGUUCUCCCCGUGGUCGCGUGGAUUUUUCUCCACGUCCUCCGGUUUUCCCAUCGCCCUUUAGAAACAUAUGUUUAGAAAAUUUGGCUUCUAUACAUUUUCACAUAAGGCACUUCGUUCAGCUAUCAUUUGUGGCCAGGUCGCUUCUGAAAAAUAGCUAUAUAGCUCAGUGGGUCUUACCUGGUAAAAUAAAACAUAGUUUAGUUUAGAAUAUCCUGAUAGAUGGUCGCUAAAAUUAACUUGACAAUUGACGUUUUUUUUGUCUUCAUCCACUUAACUUGCCUGAUGUAAACAAAAAGCCGACUUAAUGGACAGUGAGGUUCCAUGGGUUAUCACGUUUUUCCAAGAUACUUCCUCAUAGGGGGUUUGCCAACUCCGAUCGCGGGUAGAUGAAUAUCUCACAAUGCCCGGAAGAGGGGCGGAACUGCAUGUAAACGCAUCGUCUUGUUGUUGAACAAACGACAAAAAACCUGGAACUUUUAAUGUCCCGGAAAGACUUUCAGAUUUCCCAGGAGGGCAGCUACCUCAAAAAGAGGACAAUCCUGGGAAAACCAGGACACGUGGCGAUCCUACCGUUAUAUGAUCGUUUUUUUGUGCACUAAUCGGUGACUAGGCUGAGAUCAUUGCCUCGCUAGGCAUGAGAAUCAAAUCAUUGGUUUGGAGCUCUGACAUGGCUUUCACAAACUCCCCGAGUCAUCUGGUUCUGAAGUCCCCUCCACCUGUAUACACAAAUCAAGUGCCACAAUAUUACACGGGGUAGCAUAAGCAUGGGGUGACUAUUGGCAAAGUUCCAGGAGUGAGCUGGUACAUCGAGUGAUGUACUUUUAUUAUCCCGUUCUCAAAACAUUCUGAUUCCCCCCUGUAUAAAAUGAAUAAAACCAUGGCAUGCAUAGUAUACGGUAUACGGUAUCAGAUUGUGCACCGGUGGUGUGGUUGGUAAUUUAACUCGUUAAAACUUAACGCAACACAAUUUGAGAAACGAAAGAAUCGGGCGGCGGACAAGGAACUCAAGUUGGUCAUCGCUGCCCUCGUCGUUCAUUGAACAAGCCAUGGAUGACGUUCGCUGGACCGGGAAAGUUCACCGACUCGCAGCGGCAGCAGCAGCAUCCAAAAAGAAUGUCCUAAACUGAAAAUGUGAAGAAAACAAAAUCAUCGUUUGAUGAGAUACACGAGCUUUCACACAACAUGCUGUAGGAAUGGUGGGUGGGUGGGGGGAAGGGGGGGGCGACCCAGCGACUAUUGAUGAAAUUGUGAAACUGUCAUCGCAGUGUGGAAAAGUACAGACAGUGAACAUACUCGAGAGGCAGACACCCCCAGCGGAGACCGCGAGUCGAUAUUCUCGUCUCGUACAUCUUCAGUACGCAAAAUUCGUGGCCGCAGAGUUUGCCAUGCGGACAUCUCUCCGUCUUUCUCUCUCUCUCCGUGAUCUCAGCUGUCGAGCAAGAGAUGAACGGCGCUCACUGUUCAAGCAACGUUGCAUGCCCUCUUUUGGGAACGGCUCAAACUUGAAUUCAUUUAUCGCCUUUAUUUAUCAUUCGUAAGCAGGGAUUGUUGCCUUCUUGAAAAAAAAUAACAACUGUCGUGCUCUUAUUUUAAAAAAAAGUCAAACCUUUUUUGCGUUUAUCCACCCCAGCCUACGGUUUUGCUGGAGGACGGGGAGAUAAACAAAACAAAUGAAUGUGUCAUUUAUUUAAUGUAACUUACGAUUUUUGUUGUUGUUGUUGUUGCCGUCUUACGUUCGUUGCGAGAACUUUUCCUCGCCGUUUUGUUUUCUUUGUUUACGGUGAUGCUGCGAUCUGCUUCGCCAAAAAGGCCAAGCUUGGUUUGGUUGUUGUUGUUGUUGUUUUUUCGCACGCGCAUUCGGACCGCGCACGCACGCGCGGCCCCACGACUCGCGACGCCUCCACGCGGCAAUGAGCCGCCAGGGUCACUCACGGCCGUCGACUGCGCACGUGGCGACCGCCUCCUCCCACGCGACCUCUCGUAGACCCGGCCCCGCGGACUCGUGGCGAAAAAAAAUCGGCCAUCGUUGGUCCGUCGUGGCUGAGAUUUUUUUUUUUAAAAAGGGGAAACGCCAACUGGUCGUCGCGAGCAAAGCUACUGGCACGUGCAACGCCUCCCCUUACGCUUUUGAGCUCACUUUAAUACGCGAGACGAAACAGGCGGUAAUUCUGUGAUGGGACGCCAUAUCAGUGCAACUGUAUUUUGUAUAGCAGACCCAGGGCUUGAGACAAAGGACUGCCUAGGUUUUCAAGGUCGCGCUGCACAGCUCCCGGCGAUGUCCGCUUUCGGGUUGCACCGCCGCGUGUUGUCCGGUGCGAUGUCCGACGUUUCGCGCCGCGCGCAUCGAGACGGGAAAGGAGCUGCCAGCACGCGUGGGGCGAAACGUCAGUCGUAAUGCCGAACAGGACGCGGCUUAAACCCGAAAAAAAUGCACAUCGGAGAGCUAAGGAUGGUUUAUUUUAAAAUGAGCAGUGCGCGGGGUUCAAAGUUGAUAUUUGGGCUGUGACUUUCGCACAAUGGUCUACACGCACAGAGUGACGUCACGAUGUCUUUGGUAUCGGCGGGUGCUCCAGUUUGGUUCGUUGUAAUAGAAUUGACUUUCGGGCUAUACCCAGCCACCUGAUUGCAAAAAUGUUUCCCCCAAUUAUUUAAAAGUCUUAAGUCGCACUGAAUGUGAUUAAUUGAGAAUCAAAUUAGAGCGGUAAUUUUUUCUUACAAAGUAAAUUUAUUUCAGACGCAGUCACGCCAAUUUGCCACACUUAGUAUUGGUGAUGAAUGAUUAAGCAGAAAUAGAUUAGUACGUACGCAUCUCUUUCAAGAGAGACUGGGGGAAUAUUGUAAAAAUAUUAACUACAAGAAAAUUUAUUUCAAACUUCGUAAGAUGCGUAAUAAUCGCUGUGAAAUCAGCACGAAACACAAGACGCUUCCCAACGCGUUACAAUUUUACAGUGGAAUUGAACUCAUUUGCCAUGGAGACAAUAAUAUAUACACAAACUUCAAGAGUUAACCAGUUGUGCAAAAGAUACAAUAUACGUAUGAUUUGAACUCGAGGGCUGUCGGGGAUUGUGGGAGACAAUGAGUGAUUCACCCAAACAGAAUGAUGUUCUGUUCAUUUGAAGUGGCCACAUAGCCACAAGCUUUGUGCAUGCCUUCUGUAAAUCUGGCAAUUUUUAGUAAAAAAAAGAAAAAAUAUUAAAAUGUAAAAAAAAAUCACAAGGCUAUAGUAUUUAUAUUAUAUACAAUGUCUGCAGAAGCUACGGACACUUUUACCAGCAUUCACGAUGUUUUGCCCAGUAUUGUUAAAGUGUGUGUUUUCAUGUAAAACAAAAAAAUCACAUUAUUACUCUAAUUGAUAACAACGAUAAUUAUGAUAUUGUUUAAGUUUAUUUUGCAAAAAAUUUUGCAUGUGAAUUGAGACAUAAACUAUGCAGAUAGAUAAGCAAAUGUGGAUGUUAUUUCACUCAUUAAUGAUGACGUGACCGCC